ACUGUUUUGACAUUCCCCCAAUAAUAUCAUCUCCCUCCUCAAAUCCAUUCAUAUUCCCACCCUUUCUCCUAACAUUAAAUCAAUUUCCCUCCCCAAAUCUAAGUAUUAAAUAUUGUUGGGUUCAAUGGAUCGUUAGCAACUAAGCGAACCGGGAGAGACGAGAUGAAGAACGCAAAGCUUCUCAUGUUUGUCACCACUGGUGUUAAUAAGCGACAACAAACAUUGCAAGAAUGACGCAAUGACGACGAUGGUUGCUCUUGGUGACAUGCAUCAGCUGUGUGUUUGUUCCACCACAACAACUUCAGUGAAGGGGUGUACAAGGUUUGAGUAGGUUUAAGGAGGGAGACAGUAGCUGAGUAGCAACACUUUCAUCUUCAUUAAAGUAUAUAGGUGGUGUUUGGAUUAACUUAUUUUGGAGCUCCUUUUGACUUAUUAACUUCUCACAAGCUAAAAGGAAUCCCAAACAUCCAAUGAGAAGGACUUUUAGGGUUAAAAGGAAUCCCAAACAUCUGCUGAGAAGGACUUUUAGAGCUUGAAUUGGCUUCAAAAAGGAGAAAUUAAGAAGUUAGAGAUUCUAACUUCUCACUUUUGAGAAGGACUUUUGAUAAGUCAGAAGUAAAAAAGGAAUCCCAAACACCCCCAUAAUAUAGAAGUACAUGGAUGAGGUGCAACGUUUGAAGGAAAAAAAUUGCGGAGUUGGAACAAGAUAAGAUAGAGAAGCAUGCUGUGAUGGAGAAAAUCGAAGAAAGUGCGAGGUUGUACGCCGAAAUGAACGAGAGAAUUCAAUUGCUUUCACAAAACCCGCCACCAACUUAGAUAUGUUGAACUUUAUUGUAUUUCUUUUGGAUCUUUAUCGUUGCUUUGGGUUAAUUUAGAUCUUUAUUGUUGCGUUGGGACUUGGGAUAACUUGGAUCUUUAUCAUGUUACUUUGGUUAUGUUUGAAACUUUGAGUUAUUUUUCUAUUUGGUUUU
rnacentral:lncRNA from 1 species